rnacentral:lncRNA from 1 species
AAUUAAAUAGUUAAUUUCCCAAAAUUAAAAAUAUGCUAAAUUAGACAUAUACUUAAUAAGUGUAAGGGUAAAAAAUGAACAUUUAGCCAUUAAAAAAUUGCGUUUGUCAUGACCCAAUAGGGUUUUGAGUCAGUUUUUCGGGUUUUAAGCAAUAUCAUUAGUCUUUGAUGUCUCCUUGAUUUGUUUAACAAAUGAAUGCGUGAAAGAAAGAGUUUCGAUGUUCUUCUGUCUGGAUUAUUCCAAGAAUUUCUAUAUAUUCUGUUGUAUUUUUGGGUAUUAGACUGCGUGGUGUAUUUUUAAUUAUGUAUAUAAAUGCAUCCUCAAAAGAGUUGAAAAUGGGAGGGUUUUUGUCUUCUUUGUGCUUGGGAAUGGAAAGACAAAAUCAUAUACGUGGCAUGGGGAAGCAUAGAAAGUCCGAGUUUAGAUGUAUUGGGUAGAAACUUAAGAGAGCAAGCAAAUUAGUUGUUUAGCUGACACUACAACUAUGACAUUUUCUAAUCAUAAAAACACUCAACUCAUGACAUCACUUCAUUUCUUUAUUAAAUAUUAUUACAUAACCUGCUUCAUCAAAUUUGAUGUGAGAAUAAGGUGGUCCAUCCGACAAGGAACCCUAGUUGAACAAGCAAUCUCACUCUCAUUCAUAUCUGUAAAAAAUUGAAAAAAAAAAGGGAAAAAAUUUAGCUAGAUAGCUUUCGUGAGGGAGGCGUUGAUAGGGCAUUUCCUUUUCCACUUUGUAUGAAAUUUUCCAAGGUUUUUGAGAAUUUUCUUAGGUUUCUUUUUGGAGUAAAACUUGUGCCGACAGAUAUAUGAGGUAAGUGAAAGGAAAAAAGAGGAGGGGAAAGCAAAUGGGAUUCUCUCGCUUCUCGUCGUUUGUUGCUUUGGCACUAUGUGGCUAUUGGUGUGAUGCUUUAGUACGUGUUUAGGUUUGAAUAAGCUUUAGCUUAUAUAUGAAGAAAGAAAAUGGACCCCCUGGAUUUUCUUGCCUUGAUGUCACUAUUGAUUCUAAUGCCAAUUUUGCUUCAUAUUUGUUGUUUGGUAAAUGAUUCUUCCCCAAGAAUUAUGGAGUAGAGAGAGUCAUGAGUAUUGCAUGUAAAAGCACGAUUGAUCACUUUAUUUUGUGCUGAAAUAUUCAAUUAAAACUUUUUAUUAUUAGAGACUCUCCUACUAUGUUAAGAAGCCACUCAACUUAAAAGAUUAAACUUUAGAUGAGGGUUACGAGAUAAUUCUAUAUUUUCAACAUUUUGUGAGCUAGAUUUCUGCUAAAGGAAAACCAAUUGAUUGCCAAUCUAUAUUCCAAUUACAAUAUUUAUUUGUUUCUCUCUCAUUUCUAUUCUCAAUAUCCCCAAUUAUAU